rnacentral:rRNA from 1 species
GACGAACGCUGGCGGCGUGCUUAACACAUGCAAGUCGAACGGUGAAGCGCCUUCCUUUUUGGUGGGUGUGGAUGAGUGGCGAACGGGUGAGUAACACGUGAGUAACCUGCCCCCUUCUUCUGGAUAACCGCAUGAAAGUGUGGCUAAUACGGGAUAUUCUGGGUCUGUCGCAUGAUGGGUCUGGGAAAGAUAUUGUUUCGGUGGGGGAUGGGCUCGCGGCCUAUCAGCUUGUUGGUGGGGUGAUGGCCUACCAAGGCGGUGACGGGUAGCCGGCCUGAGAGGGUGGACGGUCACACUGGGACUGAGACACGGCCCAGACUCCUACGGGAGGCAGCAGUGGGGAAUAUUGCACAAUGGGCGCAAGCCUGAUGCAGCGACGCCGCGUGAGGGAUGGAGGCCUGCGGGUUGUGAACCUCUUUCGCCAGUGAAGCAGGCCUGCCUCGUUUGUGGGUGGGUUGACGGUAGCUGGAGAAGAAGCACCGGCUAACUACGUG